GAUACCACACUUCCAGGAAAAGCCACUAAGCUUCAGGUUUAUCUAAACCGUACUGAAAACCGACACAGGUGGUCAGGUAGAGAAUACUCAGGCGCUUGAGAGAACUCGGGUGAAGGAACUAGGCAAAAUAGCACCGUAACUUCGGGAGAAGGUGCGCCGGCGUAGAUUGUAGUCCCUUGCGGGCGAAGGUUGAACCGGUCGAAGAUACCAGCUGGCUGCAACUGUUUAUUAAAAACACAGCACUCUGCAAACACGAAAGUGGACGUAUAGGGUGUGAUGCCUGCCCGGUGCUGGAAGGUUAAUUGAUGGUGUAAUCGAAAGAGAAGCUCCUGAUCGAAGCCCCAGUAAACGGCGGCCGUAACUAUAACGGUCCUAAGGUAGCGAAAUUCCUUGUCGGGUAAGUUCCGACCUGCACGAAUGGCAUAAUGAUGGCCAGGCUGUCUCCACCCGAGACUCAGUGAAAUUGAAAUCGCCGUGAAGAUGCGGUGUACCCGCGGCUAGACGGAAAGACCCCGUGAACCUUUACUAUAGCUUGACACUGAACAUUGAAUUUUGAUGUGUAGGAUAGGUGGGAGACUAAGAAGAUGAUACGCCAGUAUUGUUGGAGUCGUCCUUGAAAUACCACCCUUUAACGUUUGAUGUUCUAACGAAGAUGACGAAACGUGGUCUCGGACAGUGUCUGGUGGGUAGUUUGACUGGGGCGGUCUCCUCCCAAAGAGUAACGGAGGAGCACGAAGGUUUGCUAAUGACGGUCGGACAUCGUCAGGUUAGUGCAAUGGUAUAAGCAAGCUUAACUGCGAGACAGACAAGUCGAGCAGGUACGAAAGUAGGUCAUAGUGAUCCGGUGGUUCUGAAUGGAAGGGCCAUCGCUCAACGGAUAAAAGGUACUCCGGGGAUAACAGGCUGAUACCGCCCAAGAGUUCAUAUCGACGGCGGUGUUUGGCACCUCGAUGUCGGCUCAUCACAUCCUGGGGCUGAAGUAGGUCCCAAGGGUAUGGCUGUUCGCCAUUUAAAGUGGUACGCGAGCUGGGUUUAGAACGUCGUGAGACAGUUCGGUCCCUAUCUGCCGUGGGCGUUGGAGAAUUGAUUGGGGCUGCUCCUAGUACGAGAGGACCGGAGUGGACGCACCACUGGUGUUCCGGUUGUGUCGCCAGACGCAUUGCCGGGUAGCUAAGUGCGGAAGAGAUAAGUGCUGAAAGCAUCUAAGCACGAAACUUGCCUUGAGAUGAGUUCUCCCAGAUUUAAAAUCUGUAAGGGUUGUUUAAGACUAAGACGUAGAUAGGCAUGGUGUGUAAGCGGUGCGAGCCGUUGAGCUAACAUGUACUAAUUGCCCGAGAGGCUUAACUAU
rnacentral:rRNA from 1 species